AACGAACGCUGGCGGCAUGCCUAACACAUGCAAGUCGAACGAGACCUUCGGGUCUAGUGGCGCACGGGUGCGUAACGCGUGGGAACCUGCCCUUAGGUUCGGAAUAACUCCCCGAAUGGGGUGCUAAUACCGGAUAAUGUCUUCGGACCAAAGAUUUAUUGCCUUUGGAUGGGCCCGCGUUGGAUUAGCUAGUUGGUAGGGUAAAAGCCUACCAAGGCGACGAUCCAUAGCUGGUCUGAGAGGAUGAUCAGCCACACUGGGACUGAGACACGGCCCAGACUCCUACGGGAGGCAGCAGUGGGGAAUAUUGGACAAUGGGCGAAGGCCUGAUCCAGCAAUGCCGCGUGAGUGAUGAAGGCCUUAGGGUUGUAAAGCUCUUUUACCCGGGAUGAUAAUGACGGUACCGGGAGAAUAAGCUCCGGCUAACUCCGUG
rnacentral:rRNA from 1 species